UACGUAGGGAGCAAGCGUUGUCCGGAAUCAUUGGGCGUAAAGCGCGCGUAGGUGGCUUCGUAAGUCCGUUGUGAAAGUCAAAGGCUCAACCUUUGAAAGCCGAUGGAUACUGUGGAGCUAGAGUACGGAAGAGGCGAGUGGAAUUCCUGGUGUAGCGGUGGAAUGCGCAGAUAUCAGGAGGAACACCAAUAGCGAAGGCAGCUCGCUGGGACGUUACUGACACUGAGGCGCGAAAGCGUGGGAGCGAAUGGG
rnacentral:rRNA from 1 species